rnacentral:lncRNA from 1 species
CUGCACAGAAAAACACUAAAAACACAUCAAAAGACACUAAACACUUAAGUACAACCAACCAAUUUAAGUGGAAAUGAAGGCCUAUAAGUGUGUAUAAAUACCACUUAUCACACCCCCAAACUUAAACUGAUGCUUGUCCUCAAGCGUCAACGACACUAUACAAUAAUACAAUGCAAUGCAUGAAUGCAACUACGUGAUGAAUGAGUGAACUAUGAAGUAAUUGCCUUGCCAAUUAUAAUACCUCAGAUUGUGCUAAUGUUCUCAAAUUUCAUCUCUCUCGCUACUAAGUCAAUUACUCUUCUAUUUACAAGUGUGGAGUGCCAGUGUGUGCAAGCAUGCUCUUUUAUUGAGACAAGACAAAAACUACUACUCCCACAGAAUCCCAAUCAAGAAUCGUAAAAGUUUAGAACUAACACCCCGUCACUCAAGUCCAACUAAAAGCCAAGGUCCCAAAGAAUAUACACACCCUUCUAUUUUAUUCCCUAUAUAUUUUUUUUUUCUUUUUCUAUUGGUGAUUAAUUGCUCGGUCUAAGGUCAGAGCGCUUCGCAGUGUAAAUGCGUUACGAACACCACAAGACUUCACACACCAAUUAUUCACUCUAUUCUAGUGGUUUAUUUAACCGUGCAAUGGUUGAGAUCCCUAAAGAUUUAUGCACUAGUACCCAUGUAGCGAGCGUUGGGUCAACAAUCCCAAACCACGAAGGGCUUUAGGUUGUUAGGCACAAAGUCCCCUCAGACUUAAUUACUCGAGUACUAAUGAGCUCAACCUAGUUAAUUCUACCACUUAUUUUUUUUAGUGAACUUAUUUACUACUAUUUUUUUUUUCUAUUUUUUUUUCUUUUUCUUUUAGAAAGGUAUAUCUACUCCUCAGUUCCCCCAAACUUAAGAUUUACAGACCUAAGCUGAAGGGUGUUCAACUCAAUCCUAGAAUUCAUGGAAUUUCGUCUAAAUCCUAUCUCAAGAACAUAUGUGAAUUACAAUUUCCAACACAAGCAAUUUCCAAGUACUAACCUAGCAUUGCAAU